rnacentral:tRNA from 1 species
GGAGAGUUGUCCGAGUGGUUGAAGGAGCACGCCUGGAAAGCGUGUGUACGGCGAACACUGUACCGAGAGUUCGAAUCUCUCACUCUCCGCCA